rnacentral:lncRNA from 1 species
AAAACCCUAUCUAUCACAUAUCCUUUCUGCUCCCCCUGGAGGGUGAGGCCUUCCAUAGGGUGUCGUCAGAUUCUAUUCAGAGGGUUACAAAGCUACCAAACACCAGGCUGAUGGUGUGUAAAGCCCAGAGCCUUGGAGUUGCUGAGCCUGCAGGUCUAUUCCACCAUGCUGGAAAGAAACACAUUAUACAUCCAGGGAAGAUGGUGGCUGAAGACUGAACGACAUUCAGGAGGAGUCCCAUGGGUGGCUCUAACACCUUGGAAAGCAGUCUGAGUAAGUCUGGUAGCUGAACGUCAAUUGAACAGCUAUCUUCAGAGGAGAUCACAGAACCCAGAGUCACUUCCCAAAGCUCUGUAUACAGUACAAGGAAACCAGAUAUGUGAGGAAUGAGGGCAGUGCCAUGCACAGUAAGGGAAGUCAAUCACCCAAUCACCAAGGGCUUCCAGCUGCUAACGAUCGGUCACUGUUGCCUGGAGAAUAGAUUCUGCCUGGGUCCAGUGGGGAUAUUGAUAUAAAUCCCGUUCACCAUAAGAAUUGCAUUCAGGGUUGCAUUCAGAGUCAAGAGGCAGUACACCAAAGCCUUUGACCCUGUGUUUCAGAACUAUCAUACAUGACACAUGCACACCUGUUUAUGGCAGGUUUGCCUGUAGCAGGUUAAAACUGUGUGGAAUAAGAUUCAUCCACUAAAGCAAAUUAUGGCAUC